GGUGAGGUAACGGCUCACCAAGGUUACGAUGGUUAGGGGGUCUUAAAGGAUGAUCCCCCACACUGGUACUGAGACACGGACCAGACGCCUACGGGAGGCAGCAGUGAGGAAUAUUGGGCAAUGGACGCAAGUCUGACCCAGCCAUGCCGCGUGCAGGAUGACUGCUCUAGUAGUUGUAAACUGCUUUUCUAUUUCAUGAACCCCUCUGACGUGUCAGGGGCUGACAGUAGAAUAGGAAUAAGCAUCGGCUAACUCCGUGCCAGCAGCCGCGGUAAUACGGAGGAUGCAAGCGUUAUCCGGAUUUACUAGGUUUAAAGGGUGCGUAGGCGGGGUAUCAAGUCAGUGGUGAAAUCCUGCAGCUCAACUGUAGAACUGCCAUUGAAACUGAUAUUCUUGAGUAUAGUUGAGGUAGGCGGAAUGUGUUAAGUAGCGGUGAAAUGCAUAGAGAUAACACAGAACACCGAUUGCGAAGGCAGCUUACUAAACUAUUUACUGACGCUGAGGUACGAAAGCGUGGGGAGCGAACAGGAUUAGAUACCCUGGUAGUCCACGCCGUAAACGUUGAUCACUAGUUGUUUGCGAUACAUUGUGAGCGACUGAACAAAAGCAUUAAGUGAUCCACCUGGGGAGUACGUUGGCAACGAUGAAACUCAAAGGAAUUGACGGGGGCCCGCACAAGCGGAGGAACAUGUGGUUUAAUUCGAUGAUACGCGAGGAACCUUACCUGGGCUUAAAUGUAAGACGACUAACAGGGAAACUUGUUAUCUUUCGAGCGUCCUACAAGGUGCUGCAUGGUUGUCGUCAGCUCGUGCCGUGAGGUGUCGGGUUAAGUCCCAUAACGAGCGCAACCCUUAUCGUUAGUUGCCAGCGGGUAAUGCCGGGGACUCUAGCGAAACUGCCAUCGUAAGAUGUGAGGAAGGUGGGGAUGACGUCAAAUCAGCACGGCCCUUAUGUCCAGGGCUACACACGUGUUACAAUGGUCGAAACAAAGGGCAGCUACUUGGUGACAAGAUGCUAAUCUCUAAAAUCGAUCUCAGUUCGGAUCGAAGUCUGCAAUUCGACUUCGUGAAGUUGGAUUCGCUAGUAAUCGCGCAUCAGCAAUGGCGCGGUGA
rnacentral:rRNA from 1 species